rnacentral:tRNA from 1 species
CAAAGCAUAGCUAAGUCAGCAAAGCAUCUCCCUUACACUGAGAAGUCGUCCGUGCAACUCGGACUGCUUUGA